CAAACGGGUGAGUAACACGUAUCCAACCUGCCGUCUACUCUUGGCCAGCCUUCUGAAAGGAAGAUUAAUCCAGGAUGGCAUCAUGAGUUCACAUGUCCGCAUGAUUAAAGGUAUUUUCCGGUAGACGAUGGGGAUGCGUUCCAUUAGAUAGUAGGCGGGGUAACGGCCCACCUAGUCAACGAUGGAUAGGGGUUCUGAGAGGAAGGUCCCCCACAUUGGAACUGAGACACGGUCCAA
rnacentral:rRNA from 1 species